GUCACACUCUGAUACUACAUCUUCUAACUUGGAAGAGGAAACUAUUGGGUGGACUAUAAUUAACGAAGAGGUUGAUAUGGUAGCCCCAAUGAUUAUUUUGCAUCUCCAAAAACUUGGAAUCGAACAUUUACAGCUGCCUAAUAUGAAGGAAAGCAUUUGCAUAAAACCCCUCUUCAUCACAUAUGAGGCUGGUCUUUACCUCACCAAUGGGAUAGUAUAUAAUCUUUCUGGUAUACAUCGACAUGGUAAUGCGCUUAUGACUUAUCAAGGAAAAUCAUUUUUGAGCCGAUUCUAUAUAGUAAUAAAGAACUUACAGCCCGAUCUUCACUCGGCAGUUCCACUAUAAAUAAAAACGUAAGUUUUGCAAGCGUUGUAAAAUCGGGUCAUGCGAGCCCUGCGUACAAUGUCCAAUCAACACCUACAGUCUCUUACCAACCUGCAGAGCACACAGAAAAUAAAAUGGAAACGAUGAUACUUAGAUUGCAACACAGUAUGGAUGAAUUCAUUUCUUUUAUGCGAGCGACCAUGCAAAAAACCCACCUUACCA